rnacentral:rRNA from 1 species
UAGGGAAUAUUGGUAAUCUGGGAAACCGGGAACCAGCAACGCCGCGUGCGCGAUGAAGGCCUUCGGGUUGUAAAGCGCUUUUUGAGAGGAUGAGGAAGGACAGUACUCUUAGAAUAAGCCUCGGCUAACUACGUGCCAGCAGCAGCGGUAAAACGUAGGAGGCGAGCGUUAUCCGGAUUUACUGGGCGUAAAGCGUGUGUAGGCGGGUUGAUAAGUUGGAUGUGAAAGCUCCUGGCUUAACGGGGAGAGGUCGUUCAAAACAAUCAGACUUGAGAGUUGUAGAGGGAGGUGGAAUUCCGCAUGUAGUGGUGAAAUGCGUAGAUAUGCGGAGGAACACCAGUGGCGAAAGCGGCCUCCUGGCCCAUUUCUGACGCUCAGACACGAAAGCUAAGGUAGCAAACG